rnacentral:tRNA from 1 species
CCAGUGGUGGUCCGGGUGAUGCGGGCGGCGGCGCCGUGCCGCCGGCUCAGGGCGGUAAACCGGAGCAUCCAGGUUCUGCUGGCCAGCCUCCGGC